UACGUAGGGGGCAAGCGUUGUCCGGAAUCAUUGGGCGUAAAGAGCGUGUAGGCGGCUCGGUAAGUCCGCUGUGAAAGUCCAGGGCUCAACCCUGGAAUGCCGGUGGAAACUGUCGAGCUAGAGUCCGGAAGAGGCGAGUGGAAUUCCCGGUGUAGCGGUGAAAUGCGCAGAUAUCGGGAGGAACACCAAUGGCGAAGGCAGCUCGCUGGGACGGUACUGACGCUGAGGCGCGAAAGCGUGGGGAGCAAACAGG
rnacentral:rRNA from 1 species